rnacentral:lncRNA from 1 species
CAAUGAAACAAAUUUUAUUCUUAGCAGACAAAGCCAUAAUCAUCUUACGUUUCCAACCUCCAUAACCACUACCCGAGAAGGGAGUGGGAACAAGAGACACACCAGGCACAUCAGAAGAAUUUACAAACAAAGGGUUGGAAGAGUCUAUAGAACCAGAAUUACCACCAGAACCACCAACAUUUGUGUUAGAUGCCAUGUUCAAAUGAAUUAGUUUGUCAACAAGUAUAUUGAAACUGAAACAGAACGCUCACAAAUAUCACCAAAUAUCAUUGUUCACAACUGAAACAAAUUAUUCGGAAAUAGAAUCAAACAAUCGCACAUAACCAAAGAAUAAGAACAGUGUUACCGUCCUUCUUCGCAACCGGAGAAGAUCGGCCUUCUAACAACAGAUAAAACCCUAGGUAUGAGCCCUAGGAACACCCGUCAAAAUUUGCCGGAGAUACUGUCAAGGAUGUCGGAGUAGGAACAAUUACACCCAAAACACCCGCUAAAAUGAGUAUCAACCCACCGGAUAGUAGUCAAACGACCGAUUUGGCCACCAGAAACCCUAGAAGUUGAAAACUCACCGGAAAAUCUCCAAAAAUUCUAUAACAAUCGAUUGAACCGUUCAAGAGAAGAGAACAGUCAUAGAUCGUGAAGAUAAUGACUUGAAAC